rnacentral:snoRNA from 1 species
AAUCCGUGGUGCGGGCAUUUUUGAAUCAACAUUUUGAAAUGUUCCCACACCUCAUAAAAUUUUCUCCCUCCAUUUGUCUAAAGACAACAAUCUCUCUUCUUAGUUG